UACGUAGGGGGCAAGCGUUGUCCGGAAUCAUUGGGCGUAAAGAGCGUGUAGGCGGCCAGAUAAGUCCGCUGUGAAAUCUCGAGGCUCAACUUCGAGCUGUCGGUGGAAACUGUCUGGCUAGAGUCCGGAAGAGGAGAAUGGAAUUCCUGGUGUAGCGGUGAAAUGCGCAGAUAUCAGGAAGAACACCCGUGGCGAAGGCGGCUCACUGGUCCGGAACUGACGCUGAGGUGCGAAAGCGUGGGGAGCAAACAGG
rnacentral:rRNA from 1 species